CCUACGGGUGGCAGCAGUGAGGAAUAUUGGUCAAUGGUCGGGAGACUGAACCAGCCAAGCCGCGUGAGGGAUGAAGGUACAGAGUAUCGUAAACCUCUUUUGUCAGGGAACAAAGGCGGGGACGUGUCCCCGGAUGAGUGUACCUGAAGAAAAAGCAUCGGCUAACUCCGUGCCAGCAGCCGCGGUAAUACGGAGGAUGCGAGCGUUAUCCGGAUUUAUUGGGUUUAAAGGGUGCGCAGGCGGAAUGUUAAGUCAGCGGUAAAAGCCCGGGGCUCAACCCCGGCCCGCCGUUGAAACUGGCAGUCUCGAGUGGGAGAGAAGUAUGCGGAAUGCGCGGUGUAGCGGUGAAAUGCAUAGAUAUCGCGCAGAACUCCGAUUGCGAAGGCAGCAUGCCGGCUCCACACUGACGCUGAGGCACGAAAGCGUGGGUAUCGAACAGGAUUAGAUACCCUGGUAGUC
rnacentral:rRNA from 1 species